rnacentral:rRNA from 1 species
UACGUAGGGUGCAAGCGUUGUCCGGAAUUAUUGGGCGUAAAGAGCUUGUAGGCGGUUUGUCGCGUCUGCUGUGAAAAUCCGGGGCUCAACCCCGGACUUGCAGUGGGUACGGGCAGACUAGAGUGUGGUAGGGGAGACUGGAAUUCCUGGUGUAGCGGUGAAAUGCGCAGAUAUCAGGAGGAACACCGAUGGCGAAGGCAGGGUCUCUGGGCCACUACUGACGCUGAGAAGCGAAAGCAUGGGGAGCGAACAGG